rnacentral:rRNA from 1 species
UACGGGGGGGGCUAGCGUUGUUCGGAAUUACUGGGCGUAAAGGGCGCGUAGGCGGUCUGCUAAGUUGGAUGUGAAAACUCUGGGCUUAACCCAGAGCCUGCAUUCAAUACUGACAGGCUAGAGUUCUGGAGGGGAUAGCGGAAUUCCUGGUGUAGCGGCGAAAUGCGUAGAUAUCAGGAGGAACACCGGUGGCGAAGGCGGCUAUCUGGACAGAGUCUGACGCUGAGGCGCGAAAGCUAGGGGAGCAAACAGG